rnacentral:rRNA from 1 species
AACGAACGCUGGCGGCAGGCUUAACACAUGCCAGUCGAACGCCCCGCAAGGGGAGUGGCAGACGGGUGAGUAACGCGUGGGAACAUACCCUUUUCUACGGAAUAGCUCUGGGAAACUGGAAUUAAUACCGUAUACGCCCUACGGGGGAAAGAUUUAUCGGGGAAGGAUUGGCCCGCGUUGGAUUAGCUAGUUGGUGGGGUAAAGGCCUACCAAGGCGACGAUCCAUAGCUGGUCUGAGAGGAUGAUCAGCCACAUUGGGACUGAGACACGGCCCAAACUCCUACGGGAGGCAGCAGUGGGGAAUAUUGGACAAUGGGCGCAAGCCUGAUCCAGCCAUGCCGCGUGAGUGAUGAAGGCCUUAGGGUUGUAAAGCUCUUUCACCGAUGAAGAUAAUGACGGUAGUCGGAGAAGAAGCCCCGGCUAACUUCGU